rnacentral:rRNA from 1 species
GAGUUUGAUCGUGGCUCAGAUUGAACGCUGGCGGCAUGCCUUACACAUGCAAGUCGAACGGCAGCAUGAUCUAGCUUGCUAGAUUGAUGGCGAGUGGCGAACGGGUGAGUAAUACAUCGGAACGUGCCCUGUAGUGGGGGAUAACUAGUCGAAAGAUUAGCUAAUACCGCAUACGACCUGAGGGUGAAAGUGGGGGACCGCAAGGCCUCAUGCUAUAGGAGCGGCCGAUGUCUGAUUAGCUAGUUGGUGGGGUAAAGGCCCACCAAGGCGACGAUCAGUAGCUGGUCUGAGAGGACGAUCAGCCACACUGGGACUGAGACACGGCCCAGACUCCUACGGGAGGCAGCAGUGGGGAAUUUUGGACACUGGGCGAAAGCCAGAUCCAGCAAUGCCGCGUGUGUGAAGAAGGCC